rnacentral:siRNA from 1 species
AACAACCUACACAUCAUCUUCUCU